rnacentral:rRNA from 1 species
UACGUAGGGUGCGAGCGUUAAUCGGAAUUACUGGGCGUAAAGCGUGCGCAGGCGGUGAUGUAAGACAGAUGUGAAAGCCCCGGGCUCAACCUGGGAACUGCAUUUGAAACUGGCGGGCUUGAGUGUGGCAGAGGGGGGUGGAAUUCCGCGUGUAGCAGUGAAAUGCGUAGAGAUGCGGAGGAACACCGAUGGCGAAGGCAGCCCCCUGGGCCAACACUGACGCUCAGGCACGAAAGCGUGGGGAGCAAACAGG